CCUACGGGCGGCAGCAGUGGGGAAUAUUGGACAAUGGGGGGAACCCUGAUCCAGCCAUGCCGCGUGUGUGAAGAAGGCCCUCGGGUUGUAAAGCACUUUCAGUGAGGAAGAACGCCUGGUGGUUAAUACCCAUCAGGAAAGACAUCACUCACAGAAGAAGCACCGGCUAACUCCGUGCCAGCAGCCGCGGUAAUACAGAGGGUGCGAGCGUUAAUCGGAAUUACUGGGCGUAAAGCGCGCGUAGGUGGCUUGAUAAGCCGGUUGUGAAAGCCCCGGGCUCAACCUGGGAACGGCAUCCGGAACUGUCAAGCUAGAGUGCAGGAGAGGAAGGUAGAAUUCCCGGUGUAGCGGUGAAAUGCGUAGAGAUCGGGAGGAAUACCAGUGGCGAAGGCGGCCUUCUGGACUGACACUGACACUGAGGUGCGAAAGCGUGGGUAGCAAACAGGAUUAGAUACCCUAGUAGUC
rnacentral:rRNA from 1 species